UCCAGCUCCAGCCGCACAAAAUGAUCUAACAUAUGUAACCCUAUUGUCAAAACUGUUAGGCAGAGAGGCGCGGGAAAAUUUUCACUAAAAUAUUAAUAUUUAAAAAACUAUAAUAGUUAUAAACACCAAAAGUCAUAGCACACCAUUCCUGAUCCAGCCGCACAAAAUGAGGUAACAUAUAUGAAGCUUGUCUCAAAACUGCGGGGCGAGAUUCGCUGCAAAAUUUCAGGCGGAAACUGGAGAAUAAUAAUAAUAAUAAUAAUAAUAAUAAUAAUAAUAAUAAAUCCGACGAAUAGUAAUAUGUGUGCCUCUUGGCAUAGGCACACAUAACUAGAAAGCGAAAAUUUCAGAAGAAAUUUUAUGUGUGCCUAUGCCGCUGCUAAUCUGUGUAGUUUUCCAUUCAUACGGCUACAGACAGCAAAACUCAGAAGAGCAGCCAUUCUCCACCAUGAAUUAUGGUAAAAACAAACACCGCUCGCGCCUCACAGAUGACAGCUUACAGUUUUGGGUAAAGAUGAGGUCACUUUGUACAGCCCGGAUUUGCAGACGCUGUGCACACAGGUUCAUAAGCAGAAGUCCCUCUGUACCACGGCAGACCCGACAAUGUUUGCACGAACACACUUUGAACCAGUACGUUAUGGACCACUUUUCACACAUGGUUGGUG
ensembl:lncRNA